CCCUUAGAUGUUCUGGGCCGCACGCGUGCUACACUGAGUGGAUCAGCGGGUCAGGUUACGCGAGAGCGUUUCCUAAUCUUCAAAUCCGCUCGUGAUGGGGAUUGACGGUUGCAAUUUUCCGUCAUGAACGAGGAAUACCUUGUAAGCGUGGGUCAUCAUCCCGCGCUGAAUACGUCCCUGCCCUUUGUACACACCGCCCGUCGCUCCUACCGAUUGAGUGGUCCGGUGAGGCUUUGGGAUCUAAGCGAAAAGAGCGUUUCGCUCCUUUUGCUGGGAGAACUCAGUCGAACCUUAUCAUUUAGAGGAAGGAGAAGUCGUAACA
rnacentral:rRNA from 1 species